rnacentral:rRNA from 1 species
GGAGGGUGCAAGCGUUAUCCGGAAUUAUUGGGUUUAAAGGGUGCGUAGGCGGGAUAAUAAGUCAGUGGUGAAAUCUUACAGCUUAACUGUAAAACUGCCAUUGAUACUAUUGUUCUUGAAUACAUUUGAAGUGGGCGGAAUGUGUCAUGUAGCGGUGAAAUGCUUAGAUAUGACACAGAACACCGAUUGCGAAGGCAGCUCACUAAGAUGUUAUUGACGCUGAGGCACGAAAGCGUGGGGAGCGAACAGGAUUAGAUACCUGGUAGUCCACGCCCGUAAACGAUGAUCACUCGGUAUUGGCGAUACACUGUCAGUGCCCAAGCGAAAGUUUUAAGUGAUCCACCUGGGAAGUACGUCGGCAACGAUGA